rnacentral:pre_miRNA from 1 species
AACUUUUGGCUCAAGUCAACCGGUGCAAACUUUGACCAAGUUUGUAGAAAAAACUACCAACAACUACAAUACUAAAUAAAUAUAAUAUUAAACUAUAUUUUAUUAUUGAUUUAACACUACUAACUUGGUAUUGUAGUUGUUGGUAUUUUUUUCCAGAAACUUGGUCAAACUUUGUACCAUUUGACUUGAGCCAAAAGUUA